AGCAGAACCUCUUCAAUAUCUUGCAUGUUACAGAUUUCACUACUCCCACCAGCUUGGAGACAACAUGUGGUUCUUGACAACUCUGCUCCUUUGGGUUCCAGUUGAUGGGCAAGUGGACACCACAAAGGCAGUGAUCACUUUGCAGCCUCCAUGGGUCAGCGUGUUCCAAGAGGAAACCAUAACCUUGCACUGUGAGGUGCUCCAUCUGCCUGGGAGCAGCUCCACACAGUGGUUUCUCAAUGGCACAGCCACUCAGACCUCGACCCCCAGCUACAGAAUCACCUCUGCCAGUGUCAAUGACAGUGGUGAAUACAGGUGCCAGAGAGGUCUCUCAGGGCGAAGUGACCCCAUACAGCUGGAAAUCCACAGAGGCUGGCUACUACUGCAGGUCUCCAGCAGAGUCUUCAUGGAAGGAGAACCUCUGGCCUUGAGGUGUCAUGCGUGGAAGGAUAAGCUGGUGUACAAUGUGCUUUACUAUCGAAAUGGCAAAGCCUUUAAGUUUUUCCACUGGAAUUCUAACCUCACCAUUCUGAAAACCAACAUAAGUCACAAUGGCACCUACCAUUGCUCAGGCAUGGGAAAGCAUCGCUACACAUCAGCAGGAAUAUCACAAUACACUGUGAAAGAGCUAUUUCCAGCUCCAGUGCUGAAUGCAUCUGUGACAUCCCCACUCCUGGAGGGGAAUCUGGUCACCCUGAGCUGUGAAACAAAGUUGCUCUUGCAGAGGCCUGGUUUGUAGCUUUACUUCUCCUUCUACAUGGGCAGCAAGACCCUGCGAGGCAGGAACACAUCCUCUGAAUACCAAAUACUAACUGCUAGAAGAGAAGACUCUGGGUUAUACUGGUGCGAGGCUGCCACAGAGGAUGGAAAUGUCCUUAAGCACAGCCCUGAGUUGGAGCUUCAAGUGCUUGGUGAGAAUGACGGGAAGCCACUGGCACAGAAGAAGGGACUCCCUUAUCUCCCAUGGGACUGAGGCCUCCAGUUACCAACUCCUGUCUGGUUUCAUGUCCUUUUCUAUCUGGCAGUGGGAAUAAUGUUUUUAGUGAACACUGUUCUCUGGGUGACAAUACGUAAAGAACUGAAAAGAAAGAAAAAGUGGAAUUUAGAAAUCUCUUUGGAUUCUGGUCAUGAGAAGAAGGUAAUUUCCAGCCUUCAAGAAGACAGACAUUUAGAAGAAGAGCUGAAAUGUCAGGAACAAAAAGAAGAACAGCUGCAGGAAGGGGUGCACCGGAAGGAGCCCCAGGGGGCCACGUAGCAGCGGCUCAGUUGGUGGCCAUCGAUCUGGACCGUCCCCUGCCCACUUGCUCCCCGUGAGCACUGCGUACAAACAUCCAAAAGUUCAACAACACCAGAACUGUGUGUCUCAUGGUAUAUAACUCUUAAAGCAAAUAAAUGAACUGACUUCAACUGGGAUACAUUUG
ensembl:lncRNA FCGR1BP Fc gamma receptor Ib, pseudogene